rnacentral:misc_RNA from 1 species
CUCGGAAUUACUGCGACGCGCGCAUCGCACACGUGGCUCCCGCUCUACUCGUGGCUGCUGCACAGUGGCGCACACAUUGAAGAGAAAAGCCCACAGAAUAUCUCGACAGACUCUCUCAUAGAGGGAGCACACGGAACAGACAGUGCGGCGGCGUUUUUUAUAUUUCGAUCCUCUGCGGCUCGCACUCUAACGUGUCUUUAAACCUUUCCGGGCACCUCUGCGCUCGUGAGAGUGUGCGCUGCAUCAGCCAUGCUGUGGGUAGAUCGGUAUCGACCAAAGACUCUCAAGGAUGUAGAGCUGUACCCGGAGCUCAAGGGGGUGCUGACCCGCCUUUCCAAGGCGCAAGAUGUUCCGCACCUCCUCUUCUACGGUCCGUCUGGCAGCGGUAAGAAGACGCGUGCCAUGGCCAUGCUACAUGAAAUCUACGGCCCUAGCGUCUAUUCGGUACGUCUGGAGCACAAGAGCGUGCAGGUGUCUGACAGCAAGGUCGUGGACAUCGCUACCCUUAGCUCACCUCAUCACAUCGAUAUCAACCCGUCUGACGCCGGCAACUAUGAUCGCGCCAUCGUCAUGCAGAUGAUCCGCGAGAUCGCGCAGACGGUACCUCUGCACACCACGGCCAGCAACCGAAAGAACGUGCCAUAUAAGGUGGUGGUGCUUAACGAAGUGGAUAAGAUGAGCCGCAGUGCCCAACAUGCGCUUCGCCGAACAAUGGAGAAGUACAUGAACACCUGCCGCCUCUUCCUCCUCUGCAACUCAACCUCGCGCCUAAUCCCGCCGCUGCGGUCCCGCUGCCUCGGCAUCCGCGUCGCCUCGCACUCGAAGGACAACCUGAAGCUGGCCGUGCAGCGCGUGUGCGAGGGCGAGGGCCGACCUCUUCCGUCGGCGGCGUUCUUGAAUUCACUAGCUCUGCGCUCCGGCGGCAACCUGCGCCGCGGGCUGCUGAUGCUGGAGGCAUCCGCUAUGGCGAAGGUGGAUUGGAGCGGCAACGGUGCCGCUAUACCGCAGGCAGACUGGAAGUUGUUUCUGGACGAAAUCUCGCACGACAUUGUGGCGGAGCAGACGCCGAAGAAGCUGCACGAGGUGCGCCUCAAGUUCUACGAUCUUCUCGCCCAGUGUAUCUCGGGUGAGACCAUCCUAAAGACACUGGUGGAUAGCUUGCUUACGGCUGUGGCGCCGGCCCUCCAGCACCCGCUGAUCGAGCUCGCCGCUAAAUACGACCACAACAUGAAGCUUGGAACGAAGCCGAUUUUGCAUCUCGAGGCAUUCGUGGCAGGUGUCAUGAAGCUCAUCAAGCAACAGUAGCGGAGAUGAAGCUGGUACCGUGUGAUGCAUAGAACUCCUAAAAGGAAAUGCCAAGACCGACAGUGUAAGGGUGAUGCUGAGCUACAUGAUGGGCAUAGAGAAGGGGUGGCGCCGGGAAGAACUCCCCCUUCGAAAAAAAAAGAAGAAAUGAGAACAGCAUACCAACAGCGAAGACGCACUCUCGGGUACGCGAUAACGCCACCGCAGCCAGAUCUCGAACGCAGAUGACACUGCACGGUUUCUUUGUGAACGAUUUUGCUUAUGUGCGCGCAUGGAUGGUAGGCGCCGAGGCUGUCUUUCCAUCGAAGCAGCAGCUUGUGCCGCGGUUGAUGAGCACUACUCAUCUUCUCUCUUUCUUACCUUUCCACGCGUCUCACGUCGGUUCUGUUGCCUCUCUCUCCGGCUGCACGCUCCUCUCGCCCGCCUUUGUCUUCUGAGUGCGUGUGCAUUGCGUAG